rnacentral:lncRNA from 7 species
GGCAGCGCGGCGCCGGAGCAGCCCUGCGCGGGGCAGGCGGCGGCGAAGGCGCAGGACGGGGCGGCGGGGGCCGGGGCCAGCUCGGCGGGCGGCGGGAACAGGCGGCAGGGCGCGGCGGGGCGCUCGGCGAGGAAGGCCGGGUAGGUGGAGAGGUCGCUGCGUUUGAAGCGCUUCCUGCGGCGAAGGAAGCUGCCGCUCUCGAACAUGUCUCGGGCGUGCGGGUCGAGCGUCCAGUAGUUGCCCUUGCCGGGGCGGCCGGGUUCCCGCGGCACCUUGACGAAGCAGUCGUUGAGGCCCCAAGGAGCCGGAUGCAGACGUGGCAGGAUUUGAUGUUGCUUGCUGCAGCCUUCAUGCCAAAAGUCAUCCUCCUGCACUGGCACCCUUCUUGUUGAAGUAAGCAGAACCCUGGGGUAGUGCUGCCCUGGAGAAAGC